CCUACGGGAGGCAGCAGUGAGGAAUAUUGGUCAAUGGACGAGAGUCUGAACCAGCCAAGUAGCGUGAAGGAUGACUGCCCUAUGGGUUGUAAACUUCUUUUAUAUGGGAAUAAAAUGUUCCACGUGUGGGAUUUUGUAUGUACCAUAUGAAUAAGGCUCGGCUAACUCCGUGCCAGCAGCCGCGGUAAUACGGAGGAACCGAGCGUUAUCCGGAUUUAUUGGGUUUAAAGGGAGCGUAGGUGGGUUGUUAAGUCAGUUGUGAAAGUUUGCGGCUCAACCGUAAAAUUGCAGUUGAAACUGGCAGUCUUGAGUACAGUAGAGGUGGGCGGAAUUCGUGGUGUAGCGGUGAAAUGCUUAGAUAUCACGAAGAACUCCAAUUGCGAAGGCAGUUCACUGGACUGCAACUGACACUGAGGCUCGAAAGUGUGGGUAUCAAACAGGAUUAGAUACCCCAGUAGUC
rnacentral:rRNA from 1 species